rnacentral:rRNA from 1 species
GAUGAACGCUGGCGGCGUGCCUAACACAUGCAAGUCGAACGGAGAUUAUGGACGGACGUUUUCGGAUGGAAGCCUGUAAUUCUUAGUGGCGGACGGGUGAGUAACGCGUGGGCAACCUGCCCUAUACAGGGGGAUAGCAGCUGGAAACGGCUGGUAAGACCGCAUAAGUCGGUUAAAUCGCAUGAUUUGAUCGGGAAAUGAGCAAUCAGGUAUAGGAUGGGCCCGCGUCCGAUUAGCCAGUUGGCAGGGUAAAAGCCUACCAAAGCGACGAUCGGUAGCCGGACUGAGAGGUCGGACGGCCACAUUGGGACUGAGACACGGCCCAAACUCCUACGGGAGGCAGCAGUGGGGGAUAUUGCACAAUGGAGGAAACUCUGAUGCAGCGACGCCGCGUGAGUGAAGAAGUAUUUCGGUAUGUAAAGCUCUAUCAGCAGGGAAGAUGAUGACGGUACCUGACUAAGAAGCCCCGGCUAACUACGUG